UGGCAACUGUGAUGACUCUCCUUGACCCUGCAGUGGCUUUUUCUGCCCUGUGGAGACACCAGUCCCUCUAAACUGAUGUUGCCU